rnacentral:rRNA from 1 species
CGGCAGGCCUAACACAUGCAAGUCGAGGGGUAACAUAGGAAAGCUUGCUUUUCUGAUGACGACCGGCGCACGGGUGCGUAACGCGUAUACAACCUACCUUUUAGCGGGGAAUAGCCCAGGGAAACUUGGAUUAAUGCCCAUAGUAUAUAGACUUCUCCUGAAGUUUAUAUUAAACAUUUAUGGCUAUUAGAUGGGUAUGCGUCCUAUUAGUUAGUUGGUAAGGUAACGGCUUACCAAGGCAGCGAUAGGUAGGGGUCCUGAGAGGGAGAUACCCCACACUGGUACUGAGACACGGACCAGACUCCUACGGGAGGCAGCAGUGAGGAAUAUUGGACAAUGGGCGAGAGCCUGAUCCAGCCAUGCCGCGUGCAGGAAGACUGCCCUAUGGGUUGUAAACUGCUUUUACAGAGGAAGAACCACCCCCACGUGUGGGGGUUUGACGGUACUCUGCGAAUAAGGAUCGGCUAACUCCGUG